AGAGUUUGAUCCUGGCUCAGGAUGAACGCUAGCGGCAGGCUUAACACAUGCAAGUCGAGGGGCAGCGGGGAGGAAGCUUGCUUUCUCCGCCGGCGACCGGCGCACGGGUGAGUAACACGUAUGCAACCUGCCCCUGUCAGGGGGACAACCCGCCGAAAGGCGGGCUAAACCCGCGUACAUGCCACCGGGGCAUCCCGGAGGCAGGAAAGGCUUCGGCCGGACAGGGAUGGGCAUGCGGCGCAUUAGGCAGUAGGCGGGGUAACGGCCCACCUAACCGACGAUGCGUAGGGGUUCUGAGAGGAAGGUCCCCCGCACUGGUACUGAGACACGGACCAGACUCCUACGGGAGGCAGCAGUGAGGAAUAUUGGUCAAUGGUCGGGAGACUGAACCAGCCAAGCCGCGUGAGGGAGGAAGGUACAGAGUAUCGUAAACCUCUUUUGUCAGGGAACAAAGGCGGGGACGUGUCCCCGGAUGAGUGUACCUGAAGAAAAAGCAUCGGCUAACUCCGUGCCAGCAGCCGCGGUAAUACGGAGGAUGCGAGCGUUAUCCGGAUUUAUUGGGUUUAAAGGGUGCGCAGGCGGUCUGUUAAGUCAGCGGUCAAAGCCCGGGGCUCAACCCCGGCCCGCCGUUGAAACUGGCAGUCUCGAGUUGGAGAGAAGUAUGCGGGAUGCGCGGUGUAGCGGUGAAAUGCAUAGAUAUCGCGCAGAACUCCGAUUGCGAAGGCAGCAUGCCGGCUCCACACUGACGCUGAGGCACGAAAGCGUGGGUAUCGAACAGGAUUAGAUACCCUGGUAGUCCACGCAGUAAACGAUGAAUGCUGGCUGUCCGGGGGGAUUGACCCCUGGGUGGCGAAGCGAAAGCGAUAAGCAUUCCACCUGGGGGAGUACGCCGGCAACGGUGAAACUCAAAGGAAUUGACGGGGGCCCGCACAAGCGGAGGAACAUGUGGUUUAAUUCGAUGAUACGCGAGGAACCUUACCCGGGCUCAAACGGGGAGUGACUCAGGCAGAGACGCCUGUUUCCCACGGGACACUCCCCGAGGUGCUGCAUGGUUGUCGUCAGCUCGUGCCGUGAGGUGUCGGCUUAAGUGCCAUAACGAGCGCAACCCCCGCGUGCAGUUGCUAACAGAUAACGCUGAGGACUCUGCACGGACUGCCGGCGCAAGCCGCGAGGAAGGCGGGGAUGACGUCAAAUCAGCACGGCCCUUACGUCCGGGGCGACACACGUGUUACAAUGGGUGGUACAGCGGGAAGCCAGGCGGCGACGCCGAGCGGAACCCGAAAUCCACUCUCAGUUCGGAUCGGAGUCUGCAACCCGACUCCGUGAAGCUGGAUUCGCUAGUAAUCGCGCAUCAGCCAUGGCGCGGUGAAUACGAUCCCGGGCCUUGCACUCACCGCCCGUCA
rnacentral:rRNA from 1 species